GAAUAGUCCAAACGGAUAACUGCGCAUGCGUAGGUAGGAAUCUCUAGUGUUCUUUCGCUAAUGAUUUGCUCAUGAACACUCCAAACCUUAAAUACUAGACGAGCUUGCGCCAAGUCAAAGUGACACAGACCGUUUACAGGUCAAUUGUUUUAGCUAGCGAGUAUGGACAAUGUCAAACAGUUUUUCUCGGGGCUGGAAAUGGACACCUGGUCAUCAGCCGCCCUCUUAGCUGGGGCUGCUGCUGGCUUAGCGGGGGCUCUUGUGUCGCUUGCCCGGGCGGUCGACGGCCACCUGGACGCCAGGAGGAAGAUCCAGAAAGCCAGGAAACUGAGAGAUGAUAGCUUGCUAAAAGCCGAAGAGGCUGUGUUACUAUACAAGAAAGCGCAUCCAAAGAUGGAUUCAUCUCUCAUUUUGUCUUUGUCCUUGACUGAGCUGACAAAAAAACUACAGGAUGGCCAGCUGGUACCUGAAGAUGUGUUUUACUCCUACAUGGAAAAGACUAUCAAUGAAAACAAAAGGUUGAACUGUUGCACCACCAUCCUGCUGGAAAGUUUUGACCAUCUAAAAACUCUGGACUCCAACAAACGAGGGCUCCUGUAUGGCGUUCCGGUCAGCAUCAAGGAUAACAUUGCCUACAAGUACUACGAUUCCUCCUGCGGUCUGGUUUCUAACCUCGACGAUCCGGCCGAGAAGGACUCGGUUAUUGUGGAAGUCUUGAGGAGACAAGGCGCCAUUCCCUUUGUGAAAACAAAUGUCCCCCAAGGCAUGUUGAGCUUUGACUGCAGUAACGUCAUCUUCGGGCAGACUGUGAACCCCCACAACCUCAACAAGACCAGCGGCGGUUCUUCCGGCGGUGAGGGGGCUCUCAUUGGGGGCGGCGGCUCCAUCCUCGGCAUAGGCAACGAUAUUGGCGGCAGCAUUCGUAUCCCCGCUGCCUUCUGCGGGAUCUGUGGCUUCAAGCCAACAGUGGGCCGAGUCAGCAAACAAGGUGUUAGCACUGUUAGUCCGGGACAAAAGUCAGUGUUGGCAACUUCUGGGCCAAUGGCAAAGGAUGUGGACGGCUUGGCUCUGUGUAUGCAGGCGCUGCUCUGCGACCACAUGUUUGACCUGGACCCAACUAUCCCGCCCCUGCCUUUUAAUAUGCAGGUGUAUAAGAGCGCCAAGCCUCUGAGGAUCGGCUACGUGGAAAACGACGGCAUCACGCAACUGACACCGAGCAUGGCCCGAAGCCUCAGAGAAGUCAGAGAUUUGUUGGAGGAGGCGGGCCAUACGGUGGUGCCAUACAAUCAUCUGAGGAUUAAGGAUGCAUUUUUGCUCAUAGCCAAUGGCAUCUUUGGAGAUGGAGGCGCCUCUCUGGUACAAAAACUGAAGGGGGGACCUUUUGAUCCUUGUCUCAAACUUCAAGUGCUUCCUCUCUAUCUUCCUCGGUGGCUGAGGAAGAUCCUCUCGUUCCUGAUCAGACCUCUGUCUCCUCGCGGUUCUCUCCUCCUGCAAUGCUCCACUGGAGCCGGGUCUGUUGUGGAGCUGUGGGAGCAACAUGUGGCUGUGCAGGACUACAUAGAUGAGACCCUGGCCGAAUGGAGACGAUGCAACAUCGACGUGCUGCUCUGCCCAAUGUUAGGACCUGCUUACAACUUCUUGUACUGCGGCAGGCUUACGCUUAAUGCGUCUUUCACGGCUCUCUACAAUCUGCUCAAUUUUCCUGCUGGCGUCGUUCCUGUUUCCACGGUGACAGCAGAGGAUGAGGAGGAAUUGCGCCAUUAUGAAGGCUUCCAUCGGGACCACUGGGACAAGCUUUUCAAACAGGCAUUGUCAGGUAGCCAAGGUAUGCCCAUGGCCGUGCAGUGUGUGGCCCCGCCGUGGCAGGACGAGCUGUGUCUGCGCUUCAUGAAGGAGGUGGAAGACCUCGUUAAGCAGAGUAGGAUCAAGUGAGGCCUCAGCUCUCGCCAAGCCAUUAGGUACGGCGCCGACGUUUUCCAUUACAAUCGGGCUCAUGAGACGAGCCGCAAUCGAGAGGUUGUUCGCGGCUCUUAUCGGAGGCGCGUGGAGAGAGAGAGAGUGGCUCUCGCUGUGCCACUCAGUCAGGGAGCGUUAAGCUUUAAGAGGCACUCGAGAGACUCGCCGGGCCCACGGGGAACUUGACAUUGUUCAUAAAUCCUGCAGGAACUGAAGAGGGACCGAGAAACCCAUUGUCAUUAUGGCCAUCGCGGCAAUAUGCGACACAGUGGGAGGGGGGCUUCAUGUCUUUUGGACCCCCAACCUGGUUCCACGGGAAGCAAUAGUGUGUGAUGGGAGGAGCCAGGUGGAGAUUACAAGAGAGCUGAUACAGACAGGUAUCGGACACGCUGAUGCUUUCGCAGCUCCAGAACAUCCUGGCAAGAUCUCGCUCGUUUCUGUGAAGGCUUUCUUCCCGAGUUUAUCCCGACGUGUUCCUGCGGAGGCAACCCGAGGCCGCUCUCCCGAACGCCUCUUGCAGACGUUGACAUAUCGAGGUUGGCAGCCUUCUUAGAAAAGCCUUGGCUGACCUCCAAAGAAGAACCGCAGCCGCCAGUAGGCCCACGGAGCUAGCAGUCGCCGCCUGACUGGCAGAUGCCGUUUGAGGAGGAGGCAGAGGAGGUCCGCUUUUGAAUCGUCACUCGGAUUUUCACAUAUACAGCGAAGGAGCCGCUCGAGUCCCGGCCAGGAGCUCUUUUUCCAACGUCGUUCUUUUUUCUUUGCGAAGGCAGAUGCCGAGCAAACAAGCGCGCGGCUCCGGAUGGAGCUUUGCACCAGACUUUGAUACGUCUCUAAUCUCCACUAAACUGUCCCCACUGGUUUUAACGCCCGUACGCAUUAGCCUAUGUCUUAAAACUUAAGAGUUUAUCGUUAGCCGCUAAAUUUAGACGCCUUGAUUUAAGACUCGGAAUGCGUGUGCAUAUAUAUACAGCGUGCAAAAUUACAAACCUUCCCGAGUGUAACAAAGGAUGUGAACUGUGCUUUUGUUUUGAAAUCAAAUUACUCAUUGGCUGCCUUGAGGGAUGAUAACUUGGGAGACACUUUGCUGUUAAAAGGAGGUCAACCAUGCAUCUUAUUUUCUAUUGUUUGUUUUUGCCUUUAUUUUUUGCUUAUUAUUUUUUACAUAUUAUUUUGCUCAUUUUUUACUUAUGAUUUUACUUCUUUUUUACUUGUACUUAUUAUUUACAAGCCAUGUUUUUGUCUUAGUUUGUUUUUGCCCUUAUUUUCGCUCAUUAUUUUUUACUUGUACUUAUUGUUUACAAGCUAUGUUUUGGUCUUUGUUUGUUUUUACCCUUAUUUUUGCUCAUUAUUUUGACUUUUUAUAUUUUACUUUUACUUAUUAUUGACCAUCAUUUUUACAUCACACACUUCUGCCAUUUUGUAACCUUGCUGUCACCUGUGCUUUAUUUUUAGUACGCCAUCUCCUCUCCAGCCAAGUCCCCCCUUGGAGAGUCCCCCUCUUCGUCUUUAUUCCGCAGCAACCCGCCUGUCAAAAAAAAAAAAAACGUCCCCGAUGGGCUCGGCCGGUAAAUUCCCCAACUUAAAACCCAUUAGCGAGCUAUCAGCCCGGCCAUAAUGCAGUCUAACCACCUCAUUUACCUAAGUGUCAAGUGCUGUCAAGAACCACGGGCCUAGAGACGGACCUCAAGUGGGUCUGCUUGGAGGUAUCGCACACACACACACACACACACAGUCCUCAUCAAAACCAGCAAAGGACGCUCGCAUGUCACGCUGGGGGUGAGAGACUUUUGGAAUGAACAUGGCAAGUAUUUCAUUUACCAUAUCCACUCUAUUAGCGGGAGCCAAGCAGUCAAUUGAGGGUGGGGGGGACAUUUUGAUAGGUAAGUGAGCUGAGGGGCUUGGGGAGGGGGGGUCAUGGAGAAGUGGCGGUCACAGCGUGGCUAUUCCAGCUCACCCCAAAUAAAUACAAACUUGGCAUAUAAAAAAUAUAUGCCUGUGAUUAUUUGAUCUGUGAUCUAACCUUGGUCUGCUCUUCACGAUUUUAAUGCUUACUGCAGAAACAGCACUAAAAUCCUAAGAAAAAAAAUUGGCAAUUUUAAUUUCCAAAAUUGAUAAUGACAUUUACUUGCCUACACACUGUGAGUGCGCACGUGUCCACUGCCUGUCCUCGGAUCUGCCGGCAUACCUUUCUGUGAAAAUGAUAUGGUAAAUAUGGAAAAGGGCCCCAAGGGCUCAAAAGGCCCGGCCCCCUCUUUAGCAGUGGAUAAUUGACUCCUUUUUCCUGCUUGAUAAUUCAUUGCUUGCAUAUGCCAGCUAAUACAUCAGAUGAAAAGAGCCCGGGCCCUCAUCUCCCUUGACACACACACACACACACACAACUACAGCGCUAUGCAUUAAAUGACAAAUGGGGCCACUUCUAGAUCCAUGAAUGAAUUAUGUCUUCUAAAUACCUUGAGCAGAGGCAACUGUCACUCUGCUAAUCUGGGACAAAAUAUGACCAGCUCGGCGUUACAAAGGCCUGCUAGAGAAUGAGGCGAGAAAUGAACGCACAUUAACACCAAACGUCUGAUUCAGCGUCCCUGGGCAUUUGCACAUUUAUCAAGAGAUGGAUAUACACCCCCCUCUUGGUUUCUUCACUUGCGGUCGUCUCCGUCUGUCAUUUUUAAUGCGGACCCUGGUGUUGAAAUAGAUGAGGAUUAUUCCAGCAGGACAGAGAUAUCAUUUGUUCUACAACAGCCGAGUCAGCACUCACAACAGUCAUUAGGGAAUUAGAAAGCAAAGGCCCCUUUUCAAAAGUGUCAAAUAAUGAAUAAGACAAGAUGGUAAAUGCUUGCUCGCCGGAAACGUGGGCGAUGAGGCGGAAAGGCAAACAAUCACCAGGUUUCGUUAGUAGCAGGGCAGUCCAAAAAUGUUUGACCGCAAAGAUAAACGCUUGAAGUCAUUCACCUGAUUUUUUUCACCCAUGGCGGUCAAAUGCAUGUUGGCCUUGCAAUUGUUCUCCGUUGGGAUAUUUUGCCAAUGAAAAUGUUUUACCGGCAGGUAUUGCAUUUUGUUAUGCAGCUAAUUCAGUGCUGAAGGGCAAAAUUGAAAUUCCCUUGAAAAAAGUGCCAGAGGCCCAAGAACUAAAUAAACAUAAGACAGCCAUGAGGCCGUGAUGCAUUCAAGGCCUCCUCAAUCUCAAUUUAUAGACCCUCUGGUUUAUUCAACCACAAGGUAAAAAAGUAAAUUAAUCUCAAUUUCCACCAAUUGUUUUUUUAUACCCAGCACAAUGGCUUAAAUUCAGUCAACUGCCCAAACUGGCGAUCAACCCAUUCUGAUGGGUCCAAAUAUUUAAUCCAAUCUGCUCAAAAUUUCUGUGUGUCUGUACUCAAAUAUUGCUCACAAAGAUGUCUUAAUUUUGUUUUAAUAAGUCUAUCUUCUUUGCCAAAAUAAUCCAUUUGCUUUAAAGGUGUAGCGUCAGGAUCGUGAUUACACAGCAGAUCAUUGCCCAAAGUCAGCUGGGAUCGACGACAACGCAACUAUCAAGAAUGCAUGGCUGAAGGCUAAAGGAUCGUUCCAUCUCGUCACCAAGAGCAGCGGGCCAAAUUGGCGCAUCACUACUGUCCGAAUGACAACACUGCCCUCUACUGGCAAAGAUAGAUAUUGCAUUAGCACUAGGUGGCAGCAUUUGGAAUUUCUCGAACCUGUCCUUUAACCAAGACGCCGGUAUUAACAGAAGAAAGCUUUAUGAAAAAAGACGUUACAACUUCUUUCGUCACAGUCUGAAGAUUUAAAAAAAAAAAAAAAAACAGAGCCCACAUGCAUUUAGUAGUGUUGGCUCGUGAGUUUAAAAAAAACGAAUCUUUUCAGUGAACGAGUGAACGAAUAUUCAUUCUUUUUUCAGUUCAUAUGACUUCAACCAGUAGGUGUCGGUAAUGCACAUUGAAGCUGGUUGUUUGUUGUUGUUUGUUCUGCUAUAGCCUAGGUGACUGAUUCACAAUUUGGUUUUGUCUGAUAUCAGAUAUUAAAUAAAGAAAGCCAACUGGC